UACAUGAUACUAGAUUGUAAUCAUCAUUUCAAUAAUUCAAUAGUAUGAGGUAUAUUUCUUAGACCUUUUUUUAGUAAAUAUGAUAUUAGUGUAACUUUUACUUUUUUUUCUUCUGCAUUCAUCUUCUUUUCCCUCAAUUUCAUACCUUCGAACCCUAGCAAUGGCCGACCUAGAUCCCUCUGAUUCUAGUUCUACCAGUCCUACUCUUGUUAAUUCAUCAAAAAAACAUUCUCAAGAUCCUCGUAACCCAUAUUUCCUUCAUCCAAGAAAAAAUCUUGGAGAUGUUCUUGUCCACACUCCCUGCACUGAUUUCAACUACCAUAACUAGAGUAGAUCCAUGAAACGUGCACUCUCUUCAAGGAACAAAAUUAAAUUCAUCAAGGGGACUUUAUCUCCAAUAAAACAAACAAAUUCAAAUUUUGAUUUAUGGGAUCGCUGUAACACCAUGGUGAUUUCUUGGAUCACAAGAAGUCUCUCAUCACAUCUAUCAAAGCAUAAUUUGCAUUGACUCGACUCAUGAACUCUGGAAAGAUCUUGAAGAACAAUUCACCAAAGCUAAUUUUUUUCAAGGUUUCAGACGUUCUUCAUGAUUUACUUCUUUGCGUCAAGGGGAUCAUCUCCUUCCACAUAUUUUACAGAAUUGAAGAUCUUGUGGGAUGAACUUGAGGAUCUACAUCUAAUCCCUUCUUCCAUUUGCUCCAACCUGUGCAAAAGUUCCCUUUCGACAUGUGUUCACACUUACAAGAACACUAAAUACAUUAUUUGUUUUCUCAAAGGCCUCAAUUAUAAUUACAACAAUGUAUGCAACCAAAUUCUCCCAAUGGACCCAUUACCGUCCAUUUCAAAAGCCUAUUCUCUUUUGGCUCAACAUGAUUCAGUCUCACCUAUUGAAUCACCUUCUUUUGAUUCCAAUUCUAUAGUUGUUUCUUGAAAUCACAUCAGUCGAAAUAAGGGUUUUCAAGGUCAGAAUUAUGUUCGUGGAAGAGGCAAUAAACGACCAAUGUUGUGUACACAUUGUAACAAGACUAAUCAUACUAUUGAGAACUAUUAUUUCAAACAUGGUCUUUUCCAUGGGUAUAAAUCCAAAUUCCAUCUUGAUCCAUGAAAUAUCCCAACAAUUUUGUUACUCAUGAAUACAAGACUUCUCAAUCCAAUUCAAAGGCUACUACUUGCCAAUAACAUGUUGAUAGUCCCUCGCCUAUUUCUCGAGAUGACUUCAUAUUCUUGGUGAACAUAUUGGAAACAUCCCAACAAGAUUUCUCUAACGGAAAAUCGGACUCCAAUUAGCAUGUUAUCUCUAGUGUUGCCAAGUUAGGCAAUGACAUUGAGGAAAUGACAUCAAUUAAAGAAUACUUGCAUCAAACAUUCAAGAUCAAAGAUUUGGGGUACCUAAAAUAAUUUUUGGAUUUAGAAAUUUCAUGGUCUAAACAAGGCAUCCAUGUAUGCCAAAGAAAAUAUUCCAUGGACAUUUUAUCUGAUAUGAGCCUCCUUGAUCCAAACCAGUUUUAGCAUCAAUGCAAAAAUGUAUUAGACUUAGUGUAGAUUCUUGGACUAAUUGGCAAGAUCCAAAACCAUUUUGCGGGCUAAUUGGCAAGCUAAGACCAGAUAUCUCAUAUGUGGUACUACAGCUUAGUCAAUUUAUGAGCAAAUCGACAUCUUCUCAUCAUAAUUGGUUAGGAUAUAAGCAAGUUAGUUAUUACUCUGCUCCUUUAGUUGUAUAUAAAUACCCUUUUACUUUCAGUUUAAUACAUGAUACUAAAUUGUCAUUAUCAUUUCAAUAAUUCAAUAAUAUGAAGUAUAUUUUUAUUUA